CCUACGGGAGGCAGCAGUGGGGAAUAUUGCACAAUGGGGGAAACCCUGAUGCAGCCAUGCCGCGUGUGUGAAGAAGGCCUUCGGGUUGUAAAGCACUUUCAGUAGGGAGGAAAGGGUGAGUCUUAAUACGGCUCAUCUGUGACGUUACCUACAGAAGAAGGACCGGCUAACUCCGUGCCAGCAGCCGCGGUAAUACGGAGGGUCCGAGCGUUAAUCGGAAUUACUGGGCGUAAAGCGUGCGCAGGCGGUUUGUUAAGCGAGAUGUGAAAGCCCUGGGCUCAACCUAGGAAUAGCAUUUCGAACUGGCGAACUAGAGUCUUGUAGAGGGGGGUAGAAUUCCAGGUGUAGCGGUGAAAUGCGUAGAGAUCUGGAGGAAUACCGGUGGCGAAGGCGGCCCCCUGGACAAAGACUGACGCUCAUGCACGAAAGCGUGGGGAGCA
rnacentral:rRNA from 1 species